rnacentral:lncRNA from 1 species
GCCUCAUUCACGUUUCUAUUGUUUGCUAUGGUUGCCAGGAAACCAAAGUUCCAAGCAAGCAAAGGAAAUCACUGCACGAGUAACUAUGGAAUGCCUAUGAGCCUGCUCAUUUCUCCAAAAUGUAGUGAGUUUCAGAAAGCAAGUAGAUCUACUGGAAGGACUGGGAAAUCAAAAGCAAAUGAACAGGACUUCAUGUCAACAGAUGUUACUAGAAUUCUGUAAUGGGCAAAUGUGCUCCAUGCCAACCUAAAAAACGAGCACUGCCAAAGUUGUUGCAUUCAUUCAAGUUCCAGUUCUCAGCUCUCGAUCUUUCCUUCUUUCUUAUACACUGCAUAGAACUCACGUCUAAGGUAAUGCAUGCAUCCUGCACCCUGCUCAUGUCGAAACUCUACGUCAAAGAUCCUCCUCGUGUCCAGUUCUUUUCCUAUCAUUCCACGCUUGAUGUUCUAGUUUGUGUAUAUUUUUGUAGAUAAUUAUACUCCUAGAAUAUCUAGGCUUCUUUGAACAAUCAUAACAUUACAUUGGAACAGUUUUUGUAGCACUUAUCAUUUUCUACUUUAUAUUACUGUUAAUAUAUCCAUGUAUUGAAAUCACUACUAAAUGUUAUGUUUGUUUAGGCUAAUAUCUAUGUAUCUAUAUCUAUGUUUAUCCCAUCUCCCAUGUCACCCAAAUAGUGCCGGGAAAAUAUUUUGACUCUGUAAAGUGAUUUUUAAAUAAAUAUUGUGAAAGAAAUCUGUGAAUAAAACCC